rnacentral:lncRNA from 10 species
CACGUCUGUCAUCCCAGCACUUUGGGAGGCCGAGGCGGGUGGAUCACCUGAGAUUGGGAGUUCGAGACCAGCCUUGCCAACACGGCGAAACCCCGUCUCUACUAAAAAUACUAAAUUGAGUCGGGCGCGGGGGGGCAGGCGCCUGUAAUGCCAGCUACUCGAGAGGCUGAGGAGGGAGCAUCACUUGAACCUGGGAGGCGGAGGCUGCAGUGAGCCGAGAUCACGCCACUGCACUACCGCCCCGGCUGUAGAGUGAGUGAGACUCUGUCUCUAAAUAAAUAAAUAAAUAACACGGGUGAAGGAGAAUCAGGGUUCGAUUCUGGAGAGGGAGCCUGAGAAAUGGCUACCACAUUCAAGGAAGGCAGCAGGCAUGCAAAUUACCCACUCCUGACUCGAGGAGGUAGUGAUGAAACAUAACAAUACAGGACUCUUUCGAGGUCCUGUAAUUGGAAUGAGUCCACUUUAAAUCCUUUAACGAAGAUCCAUUGGAGGGCAAGUUUAGUGCCAGCAGCCGCGGUAAUUCCAGCUCCAAUAGCGUAUAUUAAAGUUGCUGCAGUUAAAAAGCUCCUAGUUGGAUCUUGGGAGCGGGCGGGCAGUCCGCCAUGAGGCGAGCCACUGCCCGUCCCCGCCCCUUGCCUCUUGGCGCCCCCUCGAUGCUCUUAGCUGAGUGUUCCGCGGCCCAAAGCGUUUACUUUGAAAAAAUUAGAGUGUUCAAAGCAGGUCCAAGCCGCCUGGAUACCGCAGCUAGG